rnacentral:lncRNA from 1 species
CCAAGGUAUGAUCCCAAUGCUAAUGCUUAUGAUAGAACUGCAUGCGGGAUCUUAGGGUCAAUAUUGGGGUCUUACAGCUGCCCCUAUUUAAGGACAUUCUAACUGAGGAGGUGAAGGUUAAAAUCUUCAUGUUGACUCAGUAGAAUGGGCUUAAAUAAUAACACAGAAACAAAUUUUGGUCCCUAAGAGACCUCAUGAUGCAAAUGAUAUGAAUGCAAAAGUCAAUGCUCUGUUGGGAAAUAUUGCCACAAAGGAAAAGAAAUCAGAGAGACCGAAAAU